UAUAUGUGCUAAGUUUUAUGUUGUGUAGUCAAACACAUUAGUUGGGGUUGGCCCACUCCUACUGAUUUUAGUUUAUUUAUACUGCUGGGGUAAAUUCUGGAUUGUAUAUUGCUUUCCUAAUUCAUUGUAACUACUGGAGGAGGGGCUGAGUAGUCAAUUCUUGAGUGCUGUGAAGAAUCUCACAAAUGAGUAUUCUGGUAAGAGCCAUUUUAUCUGUAGGGAUAUAUUUAGUUUCUCAAUCUGUUUUCAUAUCUUGCCAUGCUUCUAUGUUUUCUGUAUAACCUACAUGGUUUUGCUUUGUUGCUUUGUAUGAGAUAUCAUGUAUAUUCUUGCAUUGAUUGCUUUGAAGAAGUCAGAAAUGGGAAAGAAAGAAAAAUAGCUUUGGCUUGAGAGAUAUUUAUGGGUAAUGAAAAUUUUAAAAUGUGAAGGUUGCUAUUAAAGAAAUGCUCAUAAAGUGAUCCAUGCCAUGACAAAGACAAACAAAACCAGUUUAGUAAGCUGAAUACCCAUUUUCUCAACUUUUAAAGUGUAUUGAAGUGUUUUUCCUCUCUCUCAAUGGUGUUUGUUGUCCAUAAAGAAGGGAUUGGAAAUGUUCUUCUCAAAGUGAGCACGUACAGGGUGAUCAAUGUUUAGGACCAUUGCCAUUUAUGCAUAGAUUUGGAGCUUGUCAUAGUGGGAUCAAUUUCAUUAUAACUUGCCCAUUUCUUGUGGGUCAUCUGCCAAGUUGGAGUUGAUUGCCAAACUUUUGAAGCUUUUUUGGUUUGUGAUUCUAAAUUUCUAGCAAAAAAGAGAGUAACUUCACCUUCCAUGGACUACUUGAAUGGUAAAAAUCAAGCAGCACAUUUCUUCAUGCAUUUAAGCAUCUUUCCAGCAAUGCAAUUAUGUUUUUCUCCUGAUCACAUCUAGAUUCUGAGCACCCUUUUGUGGUUUUUACACGCCAAGUGCCAAACUACCCUUUUGUGCAUUUUGGGAUUGCAUUGUUUUUGUUCUACUUUGGAGUGUGAACUAUCUCGUGUUUUGUGGUCUUUUUCUUAGGUAUGGAUUUUCAUUUUCCCUUUGUGUAUAUUUUAUUUGUUCAAAGAGUUAUGGAGUCAACUAGCGUAGCAAGUCGUGUCUUCAAUACAACCAAGUUUAAUUCAUAGCUAUUCUUUUGUAGGGCUUCUCGCUCCUUGUAUGGAAGCUUGAGUGGUAGAUUGGGUUAUCGGUUCUUUCUUGCCUCCUAGGAGGAGUGAUGAUCUUUGUCCAAGAGGGUCUCUUAUUAUGAAAGGUUGCACUAUCUAAGAAAGUGAAGAUGGUGGUGUUCACAAAGUCAAUACCUAGGUCAGCGGCCGGAAGGAUUCUUCAACGGGAACUGAAGAACUUGAUUUCCAGAACUUAAAAAACUAUUCGGGCAGGCCCAGUUCCGAGAGAAGUUGAAGUGCCUAAUUUGGUUAAAUUGAACAUUGUACAAAUUAAUUGCAAUGAAAAGGAUGUAGACUUUGAUCAAAAUUUGGGAAUAUUAUGUUCUGAUUGGGAACUGGAGCAUGGGGAGUCUUGUCUAGACCCGACGUCUAUCAUGUCUCAUGUGAUGCUAUCCUUUUUUCCACUUCAUUACUAGUUCUUCCAAGUGUAUGGAUACCAUAUUCAUCUUGUAGUAUAGAAUAGAGUUGAUAGUUAAUGCAA